UACGUAGGAGGCAAGCGUUAUCCGGAAUGACUGGGCGUAAAGGGUGCGUAGGUGGUUUGGCAAGUUGGUAGCGUAAUUCAGGGGCUCAACCUCGGAUCUACUACCAAAACUGUCGGGCUUGAGUGCAGGAGGGGUAAAUGGAAUUCCUAGUGUAGCGGUGGAAUGCGUAGAGAUUAGGAAGAACACCAGCGGCGAAGGCGAUUUACUGGACUGUAACUGACACUGAGGCACGAAAGCGUGGGGAGCAAACA
rnacentral:rRNA from 1 species